rnacentral:rRNA from 1 species
UGGGGAAUUUUGGACAAUGGGGGCAACCCUGAUCCAGCCAUGCCGCGUGCAGGAAGAAGGCCUUCGGGUUGUAAACUGCUUUCGGACAGAAAGAAAUCGUUCGCUCUAACAUAGCGGAUGGAUGAC